AAAAUCUUAAGUUAAAAAAACUAAUAGCCUUCAAAGCUAAUAAUAAGCUUUGCUUAGAUUUUG
rnacentral:tRNA from 1 species